CUUGAAUUCUGGAGUGAGGAUAAAUUAACAAGCCGUUGCAACGUUUCGGUUCUCCUGGAACCUUCUUCAGGCAGGCUUGUUAUGGUUUGAAAUUAGUUGAAUAAGUUUGAGGAUCCAAAAAAAAAAUAAAAAAUUAUGAGUAUUGUUUAAAGGCUUUCUCUCAAGGAGCUGGAAGCAGAUUUACUAAAAUAGAUUAAGCAUCAAGAGAAUAUGAUUAGUGUUUAAAGGCUUUCUCUCAAAGAGCUGGAAGCAGAUUUAUUAAAUGGAUUAAGCAUCAAAAGAAUAUGAUUAGUGUUUAAAGGCUUUCUCUCAAAGAGCUGUAAGCAGAUUUACUAAAAUAGAUUAAGUAUCAAUAGAGUACGAGUAGUGUUUAAAGGCUUUCUCUCAAAGAGCUGGAAGCAGAUUUACUAAAAUAGAUUAAGCAUCAAAAGAGUAUGAUUAGUGUUUAAAGGCUUUCUCUCAAAGAGCUGGAAGCAGUGAGUGAGCUUUUGCCUCCUCAACUGUCCCUUUUUAUAGUAUAGGGGGCGGGACUCUGUUUGAAUGGGCCAAUAGGAGGCUCUCUGUUUGAAUGGGCCAAUAGGAGGCUCUCCCAUGUUUUUGUGGUUGUUUUAAUCAUCUGUAGUGGGGCUUUUUUCAUUGUUUUAUUUUGAUUUUAAACUAAUGGUAUUAUUCAUUUAUUAAAUUACUGUUUCCCACUUGUGUACUGUGGGUUUUCCAUUAUUUAUUUAUUUAUUUAUUUCUCCAUUUAGGUUUGAAUUGUUUUAAUCUCUUUUUUAAUUCUUUUUUCUUUUUCUUUCAAGGCAUUCUGGGGUGGCAUAGGUAUGCCUUUGCCCGUGUUUGUCCUUAUUGGGAGUUGUGAUUAAUCAAAUGAUGAUUCUUAUGAACAGGCCGACCAGAAGGGAAACGAACAGUAGAGCGAAUUGCAAACAUGAGGCACGGGCUGAUUAGGGUUGGGGUUAGGGUUAGCGGUUAGGGUUAGGGUUAGGGGUUAGGGUUAGGGUUAGGUGGUUAGGGU
ensembl:lncRNA